GUUUAUUUUGCCAUUGUUGCGUUGGGUUUGAACGGGGUGUGCUCCGCCCAUCGAUGAGUACCGGUUGCCAUGAACUGGUCAGAGUGGCGGCGCAAGGGUUUCGAUUGGGAGGCGCCUGCUGUGUGCUGGUGCUGCGGUCGUCUUCAGGCGACCACGUCCAUGAGCUGCUGCCGCCGGCGACGUUCCUAAUCAGCUGCUGGCCACCGCCACAACCUUCUGCUCCCCGUGGCGGUGCAAGGGUUUCGAUUGGGAGGUGCCUGCUGUGUGCUGGUGCUGCAGUCGUCUUCAGGCGACCACGUCCAUGAGCUGCUGCCACCGGCGACGUUCCUAAUCAGCUGCUGGCCACCGCCACAACCUUCUGCUCCCCGGUGACGUCCCUCUCAUUCUCCAUGUAUUUUUUUCCUAAAAAUUGUUUCCUUGUUCCUGUUGAGUGUGCAGGCAGUAGAGAAACAAUGCAUGCAUGCAAAUUUGUUUCAUUAGAUAAAUAAUUUCCUACAUGUACAAUAUGAUCCAUAUGUACAACAUCUCCAAUCCAAUUACCUGCUUCUGUCACUACAAGAAUUAUUUUGCUUGAACAUUUAUAAAGUAUAUUUUGGUGGCUUUCAUAAUCAGGUACGUGUAUUGCCUCUAAGAAUCCCAUUUUCUAUGAAGUCGUUGCCAAAGUAGUCUAGAUUUGUUUACAAUAAUACUUCCAUUGUAUGAGGCUACAUGUAAUCCUGCACUGUAGGUCACUUUCCUAAAUGUACCAAGAAACUCUUCACUUGUUAGCAAUUUUUUCUUAUUACCCAAAAUAUUUAUUUUUUCUAAUCUCCACCUGUUAGUGUAAUUUUGGGUUAAUGGUUAAUUGAACUCUUAUAUAGACGUUUUGGAGGCUAUUUGUCUUGCCCAUCCUCACUGCUCGUUUAUGUUGGAUGCAAAUGAAUGCUCCAUACAAAAUCAAGCAAUCAAGGUUCUUGACUAACUAAAUGGCUUGUACAUCUGCAAAUUUGAUACUACGAUAAAAACUCCAUAGUUUUAAUCUUUUCCCAGUAUGUUCAUUUUUUUCAUUAAUAUAUCUCAGUCAUUGGGAGGUUAUCUGAUUCUUCUAAUAAUUUUGCCAUUCGUUUAAGAAAUGGAGUGACUCAUGUACUCUUUGAGCGACCAGUUCAUAGAGAUGAUUGAGGACAUCUCCAUGAUGUUACAUUGCUGCUAUGGACAAAUACAGAAUUGUUGCUGAUGAAAGCUGCCAGAGUUCGCUUGAUGCUCAGAAAAUAAUACAUGGAAAUCUUGCUUGUUACAUUGCUGCUAUGGACAAAUACAGAAUUGUUGCUGAUGAAAGCUGUCAGAGUUUGCUUGAUGCUCAGAAAAUAAUACAUGGAAAUCUUGUUCAUGUUAUUAACAUUAAACAUGAGAAGUUAGGGUUCUUAGAGUAAUUAUUGCUGCAAGAAUAGCCGGUAUUGCACUUAUGACUAGUACUUCCAUGGACUGGGCUGAUCAUCUAGCUAUUGGGAUUUGUUUUUUCAGAUUGAUUAAGUGUGAAGAUUUCUUUGCAAAAAGAAGUUACAUGUUAAAAUUAUGAAGUAACAUGUUUUUUUUUGCAACUAGAGGCAAUGCCACUAGGAAGUUCAAACUGGAAAUGAUGGUACAAUGUUUUAGGCCUGGUAUGAUAAUAAGGUGCUAAAAUGAAUCAUCCACUGUUGCCGUAGCAAUUUUAUUGACCUGGACACACCUCUUGUAUUCUCUAAAGAUCUAGCUUCCAUUGACUAUGUAGGUAUUCUUCAACAAAAUCCUGUAAAGCUGCAAUUUCCUCUAAAGAUACAGUUAUGUUUCUGGUGUUAUUCUUAUUAGACAUGACACAUGUUUGUGUCCCAAGAUUUCAUUUAGAAGACCUCCAUGUUGUGAAAAUUAUGUUGUUAUUCUUUGAUAUUAAGAAUUAUACCGCUGCCAUUCUGA